rnacentral:rRNA from 1 species
CAAUAGCGUAUAUUAAAGUUGUUGCAGUUAAAAAGCUCGUAGUUGGAUUUCUGUUCUUGGGAUCUGGUCCGCCUCACGGUGAGCACUGGAUAACUGGGGACAUCCUCUCGAAGGCGGCAGGUGCACUUGAUUGUGUGUUUGUUGAAUUCGGGACCUUUACUUUGAAAAAAUUAGAGUGUUCAAAGCAGGCGUCGGCUUGAAUACAUUAGCAUGGAAUAAUGGAAUAGGACUUUGGUUCUAUUUCGUUGGUUUCUAGGACCGAAGUAAUGAUUAAUAGGGACAGUUGGGGGCAUUAGUAUUUAAUUGUCAGAGGUGAAAUUCUUGGAUUUAUGAAAGACUAACUACUGCGAAAGCAUUUGCCAAGGAUGUUUUCAUUAA